UCUCUUGUAGUUCAUUUGGUUAAAGCUUCCAAUUCUAAAUCGGAAGUGUUGAGAUUGAAUCUCUAUGAAAGAA
rnacentral:tRNA from 1 species